rnacentral:tRNA from 2 species
CAUCAGAUGACUGAAAGCAAGUAAUGGUCUCUUAAACCAGCAUAUGAUAAUGUAGCAAAUAUCUCUGAUGA